UACGGGGGGGGCAAGCGUUGUUCGGAAUUACUGGGCGUAAAGGGCUCGUAGGCGGCCAACUAAGUCAGACGUGAAAUCCCUCGGCUUAACCGGGGAACUGCGUCUGAUACUGGAUGGCUUGAGGUUGGGAGAGGGAUGCGGAAUUCCAGGUGUAGCGGUGAAAUGCGUAGAUAUCUGGAGGAACACCGGUGGCGAAGGCGGCAUCCUGGACCAAUUCUGACGCUGAGGAGCGAAAGCCAGGGGAGCAAAGCGGGG
rnacentral:rRNA from 1 species